rnacentral:misc_RNA from 1 species
UGGCUCUCGCAUCGAUGAAGAACGCAGCGAAAUGUGAUAAGUAAUGUGAAUCGCAGAACUCAGUGAAUCAUCGAAUCUUUGAACGCACCUUGCGCCCUCUGGUAUUCCGGGGGGCAUGCCUGUUUGAGUGUCAUGUUAAUUAUCAAACAUUUGACUUUGUUGCUUAUGGCGAUAAGUUGAGUGGAUUGGACAUUGGAUGUUUUUGCGCAUUUCGCGAUGUGCUCAUCCGAAAUGAAGGGAAGACUGAUGACUCUCUGGAGUUGAUCGUUUGACUUGCCAUCGUAACAUUGUUUCUUGGUGGGAACUUCGAAAGGAGACGAUUGAUUCAUUUAAAGGAGGUCGUUGACUUCGUUUAAAGGUUAACAGCCUUACUACUUUGAUUUUAGACCUCAAAUCAGGUGGGACUACCCGCUGA